UCAUCAUCACGUAAGCACCUAAGCUUUCAGGUAUGUGCCUGGAAGGCUAUGGUUUCCUUCCACCGGCGAUAAACGUAUUGUAAAGCCCUCGGAAGAAAACUUCCGGGGGCUUUUUACU
rfam:Glaciecola punicea DSM 14233 = ACAM 611 DNA, contig: CTG014.